UCCCAGACAACAGAGAGAUGCGCACUGAGUUAUAAGACGAGGCGGUUGUUCAGUGCGGUAAAAAAAAAAUUGGAAGGAAAGCAAUAAGCAAUAAAGAUCCUGCCGAAUAGUUUUUUUUUAAAAAGAGGAGUUGGACAUUCUGUUGAAAAGGCAUAUAAUUUCUCAUAAGGUGUCUCUGUUGUAUAGCAGAUGAAUUUUGAGCAGCCUCCUCCGUACCAGGCCCCUGGUUACCCCCAGCAGGGUUACCCCCAGCAGGGUUACCCCCAGCAAGGAUACCCUCCCCAGGGUUACCCCGUAAACAUGGAGCAACCUGGAGGAUUCCCUCCUCAAAACCCAGGCUACCCUGCUGGCCCUGGGGGACCGCCUGGACCCUACCCCGGCCAGGGACAAGCAGGCCCCUACCAGGAGGGCUACCCUGGACAGCCCCAGUUUGGAUGGCAAGGAGGACCACCCCCAGGACCCAUGUAUGGAGAGGCACCUAAAAACACAGUGUACGUGGUGGAGGAGAGAAGGAGAGAUGAUUCAGGAGACACGUGUCUGACUGCCUGUUGGACGGCUCUCUGCUGCUGCUGCUUGUGGGACAUGCUCACAUAACCUCUGACCCCUGACACUUACCCUUAUCUGCUUUGACCCUUACCCUUUAACUCCUAACCCUUAACCCAUAGUUCCUCUCAUCUGUAAUAGAAAACAAGUACUGGGAGAAAUAGAACACUAUGAGUAUCUGGGAAACCAGGCCUGGUAUUUAUAGCGGACUUUGAAAAGCCCUUUGAUAAAGUACAACCAGAAUUUAUAUGUAAAUGCCUGGACCAUUUUAAUUUGGAGAGUCUCUUAUAAGAUGGCUUAAAGUUAUGUAUAGUAACCCCAGGUGUAAAAUGGCAAAUAAUGGCUACUUCUCUGGAAGUAUUACAUUGUCAAGAGGAGUAAAACAAGGUUGUCCACUAUCGGCAUAUCUAUUUAUUAUUGCCAUCUAAAUGUCAGCUAUUCAAAUCAGAUCCAACCAUAACAUCAAGGGACUAGAAACACAGGGCUUAAAAACAAAGGUGUCAUUGUACGCUGAUCAUUCAUGUUUUCUUUUAAAUGUGCAAUUUGGAUCCCUGCACAGCCUCCUAGAGGAUGUAGAACCUUUUCUAACCUCUGGAUUACAACCAGAAUGAUGAUAAAUGCACCAUAUUACGUAUUGGAUCACUAAAAAAGACAACUUUAACAUUACCGUAUAGUUUACCAAUAAAAUGGUCUGACGAUGAUGUAGUGGACAUACUUGGUAUACAUAUCCCAAAAGAAAGAAAUGAUCUCGAUACAAUAUAUAUUUAUAGAAAGUUAGCCAAAUUAGAUACCAUUUUACCAUGGAAAGGACGACUUCUGUUUAUUUGUGGAAAAAUGGCCCUGAUUGAAUUUCUUUUUCAUAUCCCAGUUGACCUAUUUACUUCCUUAAGGCCCUGCCUACACCUAACGACUUGUUUAUUCAAUUAUAUGAGCAAAAAAGUUCCACCUUAUUUUUAAUGGCAAGCCGGAGAAAAGUCUCUAGCAAAUAAAACAAAAAAAGGUUUAAAAAAUGUUAUAAUCUUCGUAAAUGAUAUAAUAAAUAGGACUGGUGGAAUUAUGUCACACAUGCAGUUAACAACAAAGUAUGGAAAUGUCUGCUCUCUCUAAAAUUAUAACCAACUGAUGGCAGCAUUGUGGAAAGGGGAGGUAAGGAACGUGACUGUCGCCCCGGCAUUAAAGACCAAAAUUGGUUAAAGAAAAUUGUGGUAAAUAAAAAGUACAACCGUUUCUUUUAAGGACCAGAAUAUUGACAGCUGCACCAUAAAGGAUGAUAAAUAGUUGGGAGACUUUCAAUGUACUGAUUCCAUGGUACCUGGUUUAUGAACUGAUACACAAAACAACACUAGAUUCAAAACUUUGAGUUUUUCCAUUUAAAUUAUUAUCCACAAUUCUGGCAACCAACAUAAUGUCAUAUAUAUGGGAGAUACAACCAUCCCAGCUCGUCCGAUUUUGCUGUGAAGAGACAGAGACAUUAGAUCACUUGUUUUGGUACUGCCCUGAUGUAGCUUUUUUUUGGUCGGAGGUUCAGGAAUGUCAACAUUUACCUGGAGCUAUCUCUGCAAAUAGCACUGCUGGGUGAUUUGAAAAGUCAUAGUCAAUUGAUCAAUAAUGUAAUAAUACUCUUAGCACAAUUUUUAAAAUGUAAUUUACAAUCUGUAGGAACUGAGAAUAUAAAGUUUCAGAGCUUUUGUGGAACAUCCCAGCACAGUGGAAAUCUAUAUAUAGAUGGGAGGGGUUGAGUGUAGCUGAAGGCUGGGAUGAUAAUGUAAAAUAUAUUGUCCAUAAAUUGUAGGUAGUAUGUAUAGGCAGGAAGUAGAAGCCUAAGUAUCGUUGUCCAUUAGUUUACUUCAAUUAGGGGAGUUGUGGUAGGGUUAGGGGAAAAUAAGAAAGUUAUUAAAGUCCCUCAUUUUAUCCUAACCUCUAACCCCUAAGGUUUAACCCCUAACCCUGAUCUACCUGUUACACUGUCCCUCCAUCUGGCCUUACUUCCUGUUACUGGCCUUACUUCCUGUUAGUCCACCUCAAUCCUUCUCUUUCCCCUAACUAUCAGCCUUACCCCCUAACUAUCAGCCUUACCCCCUAACUAUCAGCCGUACCCCUUGCACUCCUGCUUUCCUUCCCAAACGUCCAGCCUGAACCCCUGUGCCUCCUGAACAAUGGUAGCAUUAUAUUGAUAACCUCUAUGUAUCUAUCCUUGUGCUCCUACACCUGACCUAACCCCUCUGUAGCAGUUUAGCUACAAUACCUUCCCUAAAUCUCAGGCACUGUACUGUAGAUAUUGCUUCAUGUGGAACACAAAUUCAUUCUCAAACACCACACACACAAUAUGCACUCAUAUCUCAGGCGUUCUACGGUAGAUGACACAACAUACACGAACACACACACACACACACACACACACACCAUUCUCUCUCUCUCUCUCGCUCUCGCUCUCGCUCUCGCUCUCGCUCUCGCUCUCGCUCGCUCUCGCUCUCGCUCUCUCUCUCUCUCUCUCUCUCUCUCUCAUGCACUUUAACAUCUUACCUCUGUAAGGUACUUCUCCUGCCUCCCUCCAUCCUCCCAAACAAACCUCUAGUCAUACCACCCCCUAAACCCUAUACCACCCUAACGAAUGACUCUCUACACCGUAUCUGUCAUGGCUACCUAGACCAUUGGGUGCCAGUAAGCUACAGUGGCCCUUGCCAACCCCCUGCCCUUGAUGUACCAUGCUGAAGCUUGAAUUGUCCUCCGUUAUGUUUGCACAACAGCUACUGUGGUUUCCUGUUUGCCUUAGGAUGAAUCCUAUGAGCUGGUUUCCUGUUUGCCUUAGGAUGAAUCCUAUGAGCUGGUUUCCUGUUUGUCUUAGGAUGAAUCCUAUGAGCUGGUUUCCUGUUUGUCUUAGGAUGAAUCCUAUGAGCUGGUUUCCUGUUUGUCUUAGGAUGAAUCCUAUGAGCUGGUUUCCUGUUUGUCUUAGGAUGAAUCCUAUGAGCUGGUUUCCUGUUUGUCUUAGGAUGAAUCCUAUGAGCUGGUUUCCUGUUUGUCUUAGGAUGAAUCCUAUGAGCUGGUUUCCUGUUUGUCUUAGGAUGAAUCCUAUGAGCUGGUUUCUUGUUUGUCUUAGGAUGAAUCCUAUGAGCUGGUUUCCUGUUUGUCUUAGGAUGAAUCCUAUGAGCUGGUUUCCUGUUUGUCUUAGGAUGAAUCCUAUGAGCUGGCAUCGAAUGCAUUUUGUUAAAGACAAUGACAAUGAAUAUUUGAAUGUUUGAGUACAUGUAAUAUUGUUCAAUGCUUGCAACGUUUUUUCCCUGUUUAAUUUCUAGAUCCUGGAUGAAUAUGAUUUGAUUGCUAUGUUACUUUUAAUAUUCUCAUUCUUUGAAGGAGAGAACAUGAAACAUAAAAAAGUGAAUGUUUGUUAUGUAGAUGCCUUUGCCUGACAUGAAAAUCUUGCGUAAAGAAUAAAUUAUUCCCAAAAAGA